rnacentral:misc_RNA from 1 species
GAUGAAGAACGCAGUGAAAUGCGAUAAGUAAUGAGAAUUGCAGAAUUCAGUGAAUCAUCGAAUCUUUGAACGCACAUUGCGCCCGCCAGCAUUCUGGCGGGCAUGCCUGUUCGAGCGUCAUUUCAACCCUCAAGCUCUGCUUGGUGUUGGGGCCCUACGGUUGACGUAGGCCCUUAAAGGUAGUGGCGGACCCUCUCGGAGCCUCCUUUGCGUAGUAACUAACGUCUCGCAUUGGGAUUCGGAGGGACUCUUGCCGUAAAACCCCCAAAUUUUCUAAUGGUUGACCUCGGAUCAGGUAGGAAUACCCGCUGAACUUAAGCAUAUCAAUAAGCGGAGGA